rnacentral:rRNA from 1 species
AGGGAGACAGGUGGUGCAUGGUGUCGUCAGCUCGUGUCGUGAGAUGUUGGGUUAAGUCCCGCAACGAGCGCAACCCUACGUUAGUUGCUAACGCGUGAAGGCGAGCACUCUAGACGAACUGCCGUUGACAAAACGGAGGAAGUGGGGAUGACGUCAAAUCAUCAUGCCCCUUAUGUUCUGGGCUACACACGUGCUACAAUGGCCGGUACAGACGGACGCAAAGCCGCGAGGUGGAGCAAAUCCUAAAAAGCCGGUCUCAGUUCGGAUUGCAGGCUGCAAUUCGCCUGCAUGAAGUCGGAAUCGCUAGUAAUCGCAGGUCAGCAUACUGCGGUGAAUACGUUCCCGGGCCUU